CUCAAGACUAAAUACAUAAAAUUAUUUUAAUUUUUUUUUAUAACUAAGACCCUCCAUGCCCCUUAUCAGUUUAGUUGAUCUCCUUUGUACUUUAUCUAGCUGCAGAGCAUCCUUUCUAUGGACUGCAGGAAUUUAUACAGCACCUA